AUUGAACGCUGGCGGCAGGCCUAACACAUGCCAGUCGAGCGGAUGAAGGGAGCUUGCUCCUGGAUUCAGCGGCGGACGGGUGAGUAAUGCCUAGGAAUCUGCCUGGUAGUGGGGGAUAACGUCCGGAAACGGGCGCUAAUACCGCAUACGUCCUGAGGGAGAAAGUGGGGGAUCUUCGGACCUCACGCUAUCAGAUGAGCCUAGGUCGGAUUAGCUAGUUGGUGGGGUAAAGGCCUACCAAGGCGACGAUCCGUAACUGGUCUGAGAGGAUGAUCAGUCACACUGGAACUGAGAAACGGCCCAAGCCCCUACGGGAGGCAGGGGGGGGAAAUUUUGGCAAAGGGGCGAAAGCCUGAUCCAGCCAUGCCGGGUGGGUGAAGAAGGUCUUCGGUUUGUAAAGCACUUUAAGUUGGGAGGAAGGGCAGUAAGUUAAUACCUUGCUUUUUUGACGUUACCAACAGAAUAAGCCCCGGCUAACUUCGU
rnacentral:rRNA from 1 species